UCAAGAAACUUCCACAAUGGGCGAAAGCCUGAUGGAGCGACGUCGCGUGAUGGACGAAGUGCUUCGGCACGUAAACAUCUUUUAUGUGGGAUGAAAUUAUUGACAGUACCACAUGAAUAAGGGGCUCCUAACUCUGUGCCAGCAGGAGCGGUAAUACAGAGGCCCCAAGCGUUAUCCGGAAUCACUGGGCGUAAAGGGUGUCGAGGCGGUUGUAUUAGUCGUUCGUAAAAUCUACGAGCUUAACUUGUAGGCGGCGAACGAAACGGUACGACUUGAGGUUUGGAGAGGUGCGUGGAACUCACGGUGUAGGGGUGAAAUCCGUUGAUAUCGUGGGGAACACCAAAGGCGAAGGCGGCGCACUGGCCAAAAUCUGACGCUCACACACGAAAGCUAGGGUAGCGAAGAGGAUUAGAUACCCUUGUAGUCCCUGAGCGGGCUGGCAAGGCGCAU
rnacentral:rRNA from 1 species